AGAUGUGUGCCCGAGAACCUAGGGGCUACUUUGAUAGAGUAAAACACAGGGACCAUCAACCCCUCACAUCUU
rnacentral:tRNA from 1 species